UGGCAGUCCUGUCUUGUGGGCAUCAUUUGUGCUUUUCUUGCUUGUAAACGUUAAUGGAUGGCAAGCAUUAUUGUGGGCAUCCUUAAUCCCUGUGAUUAUAAUCUUAGCUAUUGGAAUGGAGCUUCAAUCCAUUUUGACACAGUGGCUCUUGAAAUUACCGAAAGACAUGCGGUGGUGCAAGGGAUGCCACUUGUACAGGGCUCAGA